UACGUAGGGUGCAAGCGUUGUCCGGAAUUAUUGGGCCUAAAGCGUCCGUAGCUGGCCUGUUAGAUGCCUGGGUAAAUCGAUGCGCUCAACGUAUCGAACUCCGGGUAGACCGGCAGGCUUGGGACCGGGAGAGGCGUGAGCUACUCGGGGGGUAGGGGUAAAAUCCUGUAAUCCUCCGGGGAGGACCAGUGGCGAAGGCGUCACGCUAGAACGGCUCCGACAGUGAGGGACGAAGCCCUGGGGCGCAAACCGG
rnacentral:rRNA from 1 species